AGGGAAUUGAAGUUUCUUUUUCGUUCAAGCGUCCCCUCUUGUUCUCUCGUCGACUGCCCCAUCACCAUCUUCUUCCUCUUCUUUUUUCUCCGCUAGGGCGCAACAACAAUCAUCCCAAAUUUCGUGCUCCUUCCUCUUCUCCCUCUGAACCUCUUUCCCUCGUCGGUUCUCACACUCACAGUAUUUUAUCUGUAAGUUUUUCUAAUCUUUUUGAACUUUAUCGUCGACUUCUCAUGUUGGUUUUUGGGUUCUUGAUUUCUCUUCCAUGCCCCCUAAGUUUACCCUUUUCUCUAAAAAAAAGUUAUCCCCUAAGUUUCCUUUCCUUUCUCUCCCCCUUCAUGAGUUUUUCCUCCAUAGCCUUCAGGAUGAACUACUCCGACAAAAUCGUCCAAGGAAUAAAAACUCUGACUAAUAGCUCCGUUUUUCUCUACCCAAGAUACAUUUCUUCUUCUUCUUAGUUUUUCUCCAUUUUUCUCUGCCAUAAUUUCUCUACCCUAGUUUCAUUUACAAAUCUCACCAUUCAUCACCAUUCGUUUGUCGAUUUGGACUUCAAGUCAAAGAGCGAUCUUGUCGUAUUUCAUCCCGUUGAAUCCCUUUAAGAAACUAUAAUUUUUCCUUCUCAAUCUAUCUUAGUUUUUUUUCUUUCUAAGUUGCUAUGAGAUAGAGAUAGAGAUAAUAAGUAUUGUUGCUGUCUUACUUACCAGUGGAAGCCUUCGAAGCUUUCAAGGAUGUUGUAAGCUUCUACGUCUCUGAACUUAACAUUCUCAGUUGGAAUAUCUUUGCUUAUGUCUCAAUUUGAAGAUUGUUGCAUGUUUUCUCAAGGACAUAGUAAGAUGGUCUAAGACUUACUUUUCCAGGAUUUUCUGUUGGAAUUUGGUUGCUCCAAAACAUUGAAGAUUGGAUAUAAAAUAUAGCCAAGAUGCAGUUUUACUGCUUUCUUUGAUGAACUUGCCUAAUGGUAUUUGAGUAUUGGAGUAUUCCCUUUUGUUAUGGAAAUAAUAGUGCUUAUUGUUGCACCAUACUAUGAAUUAGCUAUGCUUUUUGAAAAAUAUUUGCUGCAACUGAUUCCCUCUCUGUCUAAGAACGGUUCCGUUUGUUGUAACCCUUGAUUAAUCAUACUAUUUUAUUUCUAAAGGAAGCGAACUACUAUUGAUGAACAUAACAUGCAGAGCAUUUUUUAAGAAGCAGAAGUAGUUUUGUAAGGAAGGUUUUGAAAUGGUCUUCCAAUGAUGUGAUGUAUUCAUGCUCUCUUGCUGGGAACUGUGGUCUUGCAGAGCAACCAAUGUAACAGGUUUUGCAAGAAUCCAUUGGAGCAAUGAAGCCAUAUUGGAGCAAUUGAUUGAUUUCUAGGCCUUUUUGUAGGUUUGGUAGAAAAUUUUUGGUUGAAAUAUACUAUUUAAAUAACUUGUUGGUACCAAAACAUGUAUGUUCAUUCUAUCAUUGUACAAACCCUUUACCAUCAAUUAUACAAAUACUACAAAGUGUAUGUUAAUGUAUAUAUAUUAAAGCGUGGACAGUUUGUUUCCA